rnacentral:rRNA from 1 species
AGGGAUGACGGCCUUCGGGUUGUAAACCUCUUUCAGCAGGGAAGAAGCGCAAGUGACGGUACCUGCAGAAGAAGCGCCGGCUAACUACGUGCCAGCAGCCGCGGUAAUACGUAGGGCGCAAGCGUUGUCCGGAAUUAUUGGGCGUAAAGAGCUCGUAGGCGGCUUGUCGCGUCGGUUGUGAAAGCCCGGGGCUUAACUCCGGGUCUGCAGUCGAUACGGGCAGGCUAGAGUUCGGUAGGGGAGAUCGGAAUUCCUGGUGUAGCGGUGAAAUGCGCAGAUAUCAGGAGGAACACCGGUGGCGAAGGCGGAUCUCUGGGCCGAUACUGACGCUGAGGAGCGAAAGCGUGGGGAGCGAACAGGAUUAGAUACCCUGGUAGUCCACGCCGUAAACGGUGGGCACUAGGUGUGGGCAGCAUUCCACGUUGUCCGUGCCGUAGCUAACGCAUUAAGUGCCCCGCCUGGGGAGUACGGCCGCAAGGCUA